GACGAACCUUGCUAACGUUAUUCGGAAUUACUGGGCUUAAAGGGUGCGUAGGCGGUGCAGAAAGUUGGGUGUGAAAUCCCUCGGCUCAACCGAGGAAUUGCGCCCAAAACUGCUGCACUAGAGGAAGACAGAGGUACGCGGAACUUAGGGUGGAGCGGUGAAAUGCGUUGAUAUCAGGAGGAACACCAAUAGCGAAGGCAGCUCGCUGGGACGGUACUGACGCUGAGGCGCGAAAGCGUGGGGAGCGAACAGG
rnacentral:rRNA from 1 species